UCAACAUUCAAUGAAGUUGGAUUUUUACACAAAGAAAUCAAAUCACAAAUCCAAACAUGCAUCAAAUAAUCACAAAACCCAUUUGAAUCACCUUUUUGUUUUGAACAAAAAAUCAGAGCAUCAAACCGACGACGAUGGUGAGGACGACGAUGCAAACGAUGCCGUAUUUGCCGAGUUAGCUUUCGUCAGGAUGAGAAAAGAAGAACCGGUGAGAGGCUGACAAUG